UUGAGCUAUCUCCAAUGGUUAAGAACCAAUUUGGAUCUUAACAAUUGUUUAUAUUAAAAUUCUCUUAUUUCUAAGCUAAAAACAAAUGAAGAAUAUCUUUAAAAAAAAGUCCUCCAAUGGUUAAGAACCUAUUAAGUUCAAAAAAAAAAUUCAAAUUUUGUAUUUGGAUGUCUUUCACUACAAGAAACCAUACAUACAAGCAUUUUUAUACAUUCAUAGAAAGGAGUAGAAGAUGUACAAGCAUUCAUUCAUGUAAUCUUUCAGAGACUUCUUCCUCUCGAGAAUAGCAGUACUGAAAUCUUUCUUCGAUUUCCUAUAAAAAAAAACAAACAAGAUUAAGAUUCAACUUGAGAAUAGAAAAUCAACCAAAAAUCUAAUCCCCAAAAUCGAAGAACCCAGCCUUUAGAAAGAUCCAACAUUUCCAGAUCGGAGAACGAAUUAAAAAAAAAAAAAAACACAAAAUCAACCUAAUCCCUAAUCCCCAAAAUCGAAAAAAAAAAACCAGACUUUAGAGAGACCGAAACAUCCCGAUCGGAAAACCAAAAGCAGAAAUCUGGGUACUUACCAGUUUGAAGAGUCACCGAUAUCUCCACUGGAAUUGAAGAGAAGAACGCAUCUCCUCAGAUUUGUUGCCAAAGGCUGAGAGAGAGAGAUGAAUGAAAAAAUGUCGGAAAAAAAUACACGAAGCAACCGAUUUUUUUUUGUUUUGUUUUUUCUUCCCCCCUCAUAUCGCAACACGUGUGUGUUUCUUAACAUAAGAAAAACAUCUUAGUUAAGAUAUAUAUCUUAGUAGGUUUGAUCAAUUAUAAUAGAUAUUAAGAUUUGGCUAA
rnacentral:lncRNA from 1 species